AUCACUUCUCAGCCUUUUGGCUAAGAUCAAGUGCAGUAUCUGUUCUUACCAGUUUAAUAUCUGAUACAUCCUUGAUGAGAGGACUUUAUAUUAAAUGGAUUUUUGGGCUUUAUUUUUU
rnacentral:snRNA from 1 species